rnacentral:lncRNA from 1 species
GGAGAAACCUGCCGCCGCUCGCCGCCUCUUUGUCUGCUCCGGGACUUGGAACAAAAGGGGGAACUCUGAUGAACUCUCUUUCCUCCCCUCUCCCCCGGACGCCGGGGUAUCUCCCUCUCGCAACUUUGCCGCCCCGACUUUCUCUGCUGUCAGGCCGGGAAAAAGUGUCCGAACGCCUCGUGGACUGCAGCGGGGGAAAUGUCCCUUAAAAGUGCGACGAAGUGGGGAAGAAGGUGUAAUUACUAUUAUCAGCAUCUAGAAAGCAUCAUGAAUUUGCUGGAGUACUUCCUAGCACUGACCUCCUUCAUUCUGCGUUGUUCUUACUGGAUCUUUCCAUCAGCCAACAAUAUGGAAGUACCAAUACAAGGUCAAAUCAUUCCUGGAUUCAUCUGGAGUUGCUUAAAAGUUAAAUCAUUGGAAUUUUUGAUGAUACCUUUUCUAUAUGGAUUACAAUUUGAUCGCUGGGAAUUCUCCACCUUAAAGAAGUACCCUCAGGUGACUACAGAUGUGUUAACACCCAGCAUGUUCCGGUAGGAGACUUUCUGGAUGGGGAAGAUUUCCAGGAAUUGGCAACAAGCUCAUUUCACUGGUGGGUUUGCUGAAGCAUUAUCACAAGACAGUCAGAAUGACUGAUGAGUGCUCUUCAGGUGUGAAUCAUGGCAAUACAGUGAAAGACAGUGAUUUACUGCUUUUGAGGGCGUGCAUGUAUAUGAUUAACGGAUGGAAGUGCAGGACUCCAAGAUUUACUUCCUUCCCUUUCCAGCAGAAUUACCUGAGACGAGUAAAAUCUACUGGUGGAGUCACUCCAUUAUUCUUAUCUGUGGAGAUCUAGAUCUUGAUUUGAAAGUUUCUGAGAAAAUCUUCAGCUCAGACUUGAGGGUCAACUUUACCAGCUGAAGGAUCUGCAUUUACUGCUCAACCACAUCUAAUUUGAUGUCCUCUGCAGAUUUAAAAUGUGUGCCUUCUUUUCCGUCACCAAGUCAUCCCUGGGUUACUACUGAACAUCCUUCUCAAUUCCCCCCGACCCAUGGAUGGCUGUUCUCCAUUGUCUGUUUCACCAGAUGUCCUCAAAACAAACAGACAGAAGAAGGAAGUGGCUAAUGGAGCUGUGGAGUCCAAGUGUGACUGCCAAGAGGAAUCCAGCAAAGCCAAAAAGCCCAAGCAUGUAGCCCUGCCCGAAGCACGCCACACGCAUGGAAAACCCAGAGGAAAUGAGUGAGGAUCAAUGGGAAGAAGAGAGCCAGCCAGGAAGUUGAAGAUUUGUCCAGGAGCAGAUAGCUGAAGAGAGAGAGAGAGAAGAGAGAACGGCUUACAGCUCAGGUCCUCUCUCCAUGCUUAGGAACCACUACAAAUGCUACUGCCUUGAGUCUCAUUUUGUUUCCCUCUGGAAACCACAUGUGUACCUUGUUUGCAACAGUAUGGGCUCACAGGCAGAAGGAAUUUUCCUUGUCUUGGAUGAGACUUUUGACUUGGACUUUUGGGUUAAGUUCUGGAGACCAGAAGGCCAAAAUCAAAAGUAUGGGCAGGCUUGAUUUCUUUAGAAGACUCCAGCGGAGAACUGUGUCUCCUUGCUUCUGAUUCUACAUCUCCAUCCAUGGGCCACUGUUUCAGCAACCUCAGCCAGUGCAACACAACCUCAGCCAAGAAGAGUAUGCAGAGAAAGGAGUCCCCUACCUGCCACAAAACUGUUGUCUGAAAACUGUCUCAUAUUGUCUCAAGUUGUCAUUCAUUGUGAAUUAGACCUGUUUAACAUGUAAUCUGCAACAUGCUUCACUGUCUAAUUUUCCAGAGCCCCUCAUAUAAGGAACUGUAUUAUUGGUAUAAUCAUCAUGGUGAAGAAGUUGGUAUGUGGGGGAGAGAUGACAGAAACAGAGAGUAAGUCAGAGCUGGCUGCCUGACAGAUAAAAAGGAAAUGACCAAAAAAAAAAAAAAAGACACAGAAGAAUACUUUGUUGUCCACACAGAAAAGGGAAGUGUAGGUAAGACAGCAGUAGACUAAGAUUCUUAAGACUCAAGUUCUAGUCUUAUUUAUUAGCUAUGGGAGGCCUUGAGGGAGUUCUAGAAUUAAGUGAUCUCUCUUUAUAAAAUAGGAACAGUAAUAACUUCCUGGCUAACUCCCUGGCUGUCUCACAAUGCUGUAGUAGUAAGAAAUAAUUUUAUAAUUAAAGACUAUUUUAGGGCUGAUUACAUUUUUGGGCAGUGGCUCAUACAUGUAAUUUCAACAUUUUGGGAGGCCAAGGUGGGCGGAUUGCUUGAGCCCAGGAAUUCAAGACCAGGCUGGGCAACACAGACCUUGUCACUACAAAAGAAAAAAACAUUAGCUAGGCGUGGUGAUGUAUGCCUGUGGUCCCAGCUACUCAGGAAGCUGAGACAGGAGGAUCACCUGAGCCUGGGAGGUCGAGGCUACAGUGAGCCAUGAUCACACUACUGCACUCCAGCCUGGGAAACAGAGUGAGACUCUGUCUCAAAAAAAAAAAAAAAGGAAUAUUUUACACUUCAAGGUUCUAUACAAAUGUAAAAUAUCAUUCUAUUACUUAUUUAUAAUGCUGAUUAUUCUUUAAAUGACUUUAAAAUGUUAAUCUCUGCUUGAGCCUACGGAGAAGUAUGUAACAAAUUUGUGAAGGAUUGGCAUUAAACAUAGUCAAAAUAAAACAUAGAAAUUAUGGUAAAUAAUUUAACUGGUAAAAUAAUCUAAGUGGUAGUUCUCAGGUAAGUGGAAAUUCGAUUAGCUGAUUGUUUAGGAUUCUUGGUUAUAAGUGACAGAGACCUGACUAAAAGUACAUGAAGCACAUAACUGAGAAGGUUGUGGUAUGGCUCAGCAGAAAUGGGAAAAUCUUGGGACUGGUUCGUGUUUUAUUUACAUUAUCUUUGUUCCCAGGCAGUCUCUGCAUGUAAGUGGCAAAGAUGACUGUCUGAAAAUAUAUACCUACUUUUUUAAAGGGCUAUCUCAAGCCAUUCUGGAGAAGCACCAAAAGCCACUUUGCUUAUACUGGGAGAAUAGUUUGCUUUCCCUAAUUUGUGAUGAGUGAAACACUGAACAGAGACAUAGAAUAAUAUUCUGUAGUUCAGGGUUGGUGUAAUAUGGCCAGUGGGCGGAAUCUGGUCCUCAGACUGAUUUUGCAAAUAAUCUUAUAGAAACACAGCAACACCCAUUCAUUACAUGUUGUUUAUGGUUGCUUUGGGGUUACAAUGGCAGAGUUGAGUAGUUGUGACAGAGAUCACUAGGCUCACCACAUCUGAGAUAUGUACUGACUGACCCUGUACAGAAAGUUUGCUGCUCUUAGAGGAAUGUGUGUUUCUAGUGUCAGCAAUAAACUUCUUGGAUUUGUUUUGUUUUCUCAUCUUUACAUGAU